UAUUAUUUGUCUUAACCUCAAACACUGAAACACUUUAUUACAAAAAUAGCAUAGGAUUCCAUCAUAGUAUUAGCUGUAUUACAACUUACUGUCAUAAUAACCGAAGACUUCCAAAAUAGGGAUAUUGAAACUCAAGUGACAUUCUGUACUUUGAAGAAAGUUAGACUUCUAAAGAAAAGAGUUCUCUGUUGGACCUCCUGACCACGACGAUCUACAUCGCCUGGACGAACGUCUAUUGCUGCGAACAUUACUUCAAUUUUCCCUCUGGCCAGUCUGUCCAAGUUACAUCAACCUCCAGGACUCUCAUUGUCUCAGAUUCUUCCGCUUACCUACCUGCCUUGAUUCAUUAUCAACUAUGUGUUUGACUAACAAUAGAUUUAAAUUCUGUGAGUUCUAAUAUAUAAAAAAUACUUUUCAUUAUAAUAUUACGUAUCUCCUCCAUCUC